ensembl:lncRNA
GUGUCUGUUUGUGUGUUCUUCUGCAUGCAUGUGUGUAUGGCUUUGUGUCUCUGUCUGCACGUUGGUGUUUGUGUCUGUGUGUGUGUGCACGUGGGUCUGUGUCUGUGUGUUUGUGUGCCUGUGCCCGCGGGUCUGUGUGUAUGUGUGUGUGUCCAUGUCUGUGUGUGUCUGUGUGUGUAUAUGCCUGUGCAUGCGGUGUCUGUUUUUUUGUGCCUGUGCCCGUGGGUCUGUAUGGUGUGUGUGCGUGUGUGUGUGUGUGUGUGUGUGUGUGUGUGUGUGUGUGUGUGUGUGUGUGUGUGUGUGUGUGUGUGUGUGUGUGUGUGUGUGUGUGUGUGUGUGUGACUGUGCAUGCGGUGUGUGUCGUUGUGUCUGUGUAAGUGUGCCUGUGCACGGUGUGUGUGUGUGUGUGUGUGUGUGUGUGUGUAUAUGUGUGUGUGUGUGUGUGUGUGUGUGUGUGUGUGUGUGUGUGUGUGUGUGUGUGUGUGUGUGUGUGUGUGUGUACCUGGGAGCAUAUGUGUAACGGUGGAUGCGUAGGCGGACAGGGUUGUCGGUGUGCUGGCGUGUGGAGCUCCGCUUGUGUCCCUAUGAGGCAGUGCUCUGUUCGGGGGUAAUUGGCCUGAACAGCCAGGACGCGCGUCUUGGAUGGCAUGGUUAUCCCCUGUACUCCUCCAAACCUUCCCCCGCGUUUGGGAGACCAAAGCGGGAUCUCCUAGUCCAUUAACCAGGGCCAGCCCGGCUAAGCCAUGCUCCGGACCCAGCGGACGGCCGGCUUAGCCCGCUGAGAGCCUGAGCAGUCCAGGGUCGCUCCUUUGGCUGGUGGGAACCAGGGAGAGGCUGACGUCUCCGCAGCCCCUCCUGGGGGGGCCCUCCCCUCUCUGAUGCCGGGGAGCACGGCCGGUGUGUCACUGCUAAAGAGACGACGGUAGUGCGUCUACUGCAAGGCGCCCGACGUCGAGUCUCUGUUGGUCUGUCUGCUCUCCAGUUCCCGACUCCCGAUCUGCUCUUCUGCCCUCCCGUUGCCAACUCCUUCCCUGCUGACCCAACGACGAUUCCCUGCCCACCUGUUGGUGACUUUACUGUCUGCUCUCUGCCUGCCCGAAUCUGUACCAGAAUAAAUCCUUGAUUCACAACACGCUAGUUUUGAUGGAAUGCGUGUUGUGAAUUGAGAACAGCCAGCUCCUGAUGUGAUACAGCGUUCAGCUGUGCAACAAAUAUUUUUUUCUUUUUCAAUCUUGACGACUUUUGUAGUGCUGUGUGUAGCCACACCUUUGGCCCUUCUGAACUUAAACACGCAGUUAAAUUCCUUUCCUAGCUCCUCUUGUUUAUGUUGUUAGCUUAGCCAUAUCAUGUCACGUUGUCAACAUUGGAUACAUGGAGCAGAACAUAGUGGGUCAUAUGUCCGAUGCUCUUUGAAAACGUUUUCUUCAUAAAACGUGCCAGACAGAUUUUGUAUAGAUUUUAUUCAUUAGUAAUUAGCUACAUGGUUAUGCCGUCUUUCAGAACCUCUCAUUACCGGCACUAAAGAGAGAAAAAGGAGUGCAUCCUCAUUGUACCCAGCACUUCUAAAAAUGCACUUCCGAAUGGUCUAUGUCCCCAGCACAUUUCAAACCAAACUGACGCCAAUGGAUACAUCAUAGCAAAGGACAACCUGGGGAUGGAUCCUGCCAAGGUCUCCGCUGCCACCUCCUGGGUCCCCCCGGAAACACGCAAGCAGCUGUAGCGUUUCUUGGGGUUUCGCCAACUUCUGCCGGCGCUUCAUCAGAGGAUUCAGCUCCAUUGCUUCUCCCCUCUCGGCCCUCAACUCACCCAAGGUCCCCUUCCAUUGGUCUAACGAGGCACAGAACUCCUUUGAGACCCUCAAGACCCGCUUCACCACUGUCCCCAUCCUUCAGAUCCUUGAACCCGGCCGGCAGUUAAUUAUGGAGGUGGACGCAUCCGGUGUGGGAGUAGGGCCAUUCCUCUCCCUGUGUUCUUCCACCGACCAGAAAAUCCAGGCCCUGCGCCUUUUUCUCUUGCCGUCUAACCCCCUCGGAGAGAAACUACGAUAUUGGCAACAGGGAGCUUCUGGCGGUGAAGCUGGCCUUGGAGGAGUGGAGGCACUGGCCAGAAGGAACCAAUGUUCCGUUUUUGGUCGGGACCGAUCACCGGAACUUAGAGUAUAUCCGGUCCGCCAAGAGGUUGAACUGCAGACAGUGCCGCUGGUCACUGUUCUUCGGUUCAACUUCACAUUGUCCUAUCGACCCGGUUCUCGUAACCUAAAACCUGAUCUCUCCAGACAGUUCCCAGAGUGUCCCGAUGAGACGGUCAAGCCUUCCACCAUCGUCCCAGCCUCCUGCCUCGUCGCUUCCAUCACCUAGGAGAUAGAGGAGAAGGUACGAACCGCCACUCUGGACCAGUCAGCUCCCAGUUCCUGUCCCCCUGACCGCCUGUUUGUCCCGUCACACCUCCGUUCUGACAUGCUCCAGUUGGGCCAUGCUUCCCGGCUCAACUGCCAUCCCAGCAUCCAGCGGACCCGGGACUUCCUGCGAGGGCGCUUCUGGUGGCCGUCACUGGAAGAGGAUGUCCGGAGCUUCGUCAACGCCUGUCCUGUUUGUAACCAGAAUAAGACCUCUCGCCGCCCACCUGCCGGCUUCCUGCACCCCUUGCCCAUCCCCCAUCGUCCCUGGUCGCAUCUCUCUGGACUUUGUGACUGGUUUGUCUGCAUCCAAGGGCCACACCGUCGUCCUCACCCUCGUAGAUCAAUUUAGUAAAUUGGCCCAUUUCUUCCCCCUUUCAUCCUCCCCUCUUCCAGAGAGACUGCGGAACUGCUCCUCCACCACGUCUUCCGCCUCAAUGGGUUACCUACAGAUGUCGUCUCUGACCGGGGGCCCCAAUUCACCUCGGUAUUCUGGAGGGAAUUCUGCAGCCUAGUCGGGACUACCGCCAGUCUAUCUUCCGGCUUCCAGCCCAAGUCCAAUGGACAGACCGAGAGGGUCAAUCAAGAUCUGGAGACCACCCUCCGAUGCCUGGUGAACCGCAAUCUGGCUUCCUGGUCCGGCCAACUGGUAUGGGUAGAGUAUGCGCAUAACACCCUUACCUGCUCAUCCAACGGCCUCUCUCCCUUUCAGUGCGCCUAUGGGUAUCUGCCACCCCUAUUCCCCGACCUGGAGAAGGAGUCCUCCAGCCUCUCGGCUCAAGCCCUGAUCCGUCGUUGUUGACGCACCUGGACCCUGGCAUACACUGCUCUCUCCGAGUCUGCAGAUCAACACGCUACUGCUGCCAACAAACACAGCACGCCGACCCCUGCCUACCAACUUGGCCAGAAGGUCUGGCUCUCAACCCAUGAUCUGCCCCUUAAAGUGGAGAGUCACAAGCUGGCCCCCAAGUUCAUAGGACCAUUUCCCAUAACCUACAUCAUUAACCCAGAGGCGGUACGCCUUCAGCUUCCUCGUUCCAUGAGGAUCCACCCAACUUUCCAUGUCUCCAGGGUCAAACCCGUCCAGACCUUCCGAGGAGAAGGCACUCAGAUGUCGCGUCCUCCUCGUCAACGGAGGACGCUAUCUCCGAUGCCUCCAAGUAAUUCUAACCCUCCUCCGCGGCCCCUCCACCCUCCCUGUUUGAUCUAGGACGUCUGGUGCCGUCCCUUGCCGGGGGGGGGGGUGGGUACUGUCAUAGUCCGCCCCUGGUUUUCCCAUUCACCUGCCUGCCACCAUGAUCUCCCCUAAUUAACCCAACCACCUUCACCUAUGUUCCCCCUAUAACAGUCCUCUCCUUUCACUCAGUCCUUGCCAGAAUGUCUCUUGUUUCAUUCAGAGCUUUCCUGCAACUCCCGAUUGACUUUGUACACUCCACUCUGCCUGUCUGACCUCCUGCCCGCCGUCCAGUCCCUGUCGGUCUGUCUGCUCCUCUGUCCCCGCCUCCUGAUCCACCUGCCUGACUUCCUGUUAUCGACCCUUCGUCUGCCUGACCUCCCGUCCGACGAGUCCCUGUCGGUCUGUCUACUCUCCAGUUCCCGACUACCGAUCUUCUCUUCUGCCCUCCCGUUGCCGACACCUUGCCUGCUGACCCACCGACGUUUUCCUGCCCACCUGUCGGUGACUUUACUGUCUGCUCUCUGCCUGACCGAUCCUGUACCAGAAUAAAUUCUUGAAAGUGUCCUACAACUGUCGUCCGUCUGUGCACUUGGGUUCUGCCUAACCCCCUGUUACAGAUAGUGUGUCACUGUGUGUGUGCUUUGUGUGUGCCGUUCGAGAGGGGCCAACAUUGCAUGCAUGUGUGUGUGUGUGUGUUUGCUCUUACAGGGGGCAACAUUGUGUGGCACACUUAAAGGACACAGAGCUCUCCCCCUGAGUGUCCCCUCCUCCCCCCUGCUCCCCCCUCCUCCCCCGUUGUCUUUGAUCACCGUCUGCAGUGUCACUCAGCUUGCCCACUGCUCUGUCUGUCCGUCAACGGACGAUGGAAGGCGUGUUUGACGGAUGGGGGAGAGGUAAUUGCCGAUGGAACCACGAUCUGAUUGGCUGAUGAAUCCGUUGCAUCGUAAAAGUUAAAAUUUUCUCAACUUCUGCACGAAAGAGACGGAGCUGACGGAACGGACGGACCCACAAUGCAUUUCGGGAUCGCCCAAUACCAAAGUCAAUGAGAUCCAUCAACGGACGGAUGCAGUGCGCAAGGGGUGUCACUGUUCACCUGCAGCACCCUGCAGCGCAGGGGGCCAGCCUGCAGAACGCUACCCAAUACCAAAGGGAACAGGUUUAAAAUGACCCUUCGGAGGUCUUCAAGGUUCCUCCCAUUUCCUAGGGGAAAAUUCCCCUUGGCCCUCUGUUUCGAGGGGCAAGUCGAAGCCACUCAAAACGUCCUGACGUUAAGCAGCAGCAGGACAGACGGACCAGAGGGGGAGCGCAGACAGACAGACAGACAGACGUGUUGUUGUGUUAACAGCUAGUUCUGUUCAUGUUGGCUCAGCCAAUCACAAGCCGCCCGGAGUAGAUUCACCAGCCGUCCUGCUCUUCUAAUGGCCGCGGAUGUCUGACCCCUCACCUGGUAAUACGGCGAUGAUUCACCGUCAGAAAAACGGCCGUCUCAAACAGAGCUGGGGUCACUUACUUGACAAUAGACUCAAGUUAAAGCAGUCGUCUUCCCUUGAGCCGCCUGCUGUGGCAUUGAGCUCUUCAUCAGAACCAGAAGAGCUCUUUGUGAGGAGGAAUCUUCCUCUCAGCGGCUCUCAGCACAGAGGCCCGUCUGCGCUGAUGGUAUCGUGUCGCUGCGAUGUAUACGCAGGCUCUGUGUCAGAAAGGAGAGCUCUAUAAACCCCAGAUCCCCGCAACAAUAGUGGCCUGUGAUGAAUAUCUACAAUAACACAACCCAUAGGGGAGUGCUACCAUUUCAUUUCUCUGGCCAAAAUUCUGCAAUUUUAAUGUGUUAUGAAAUCAAGGCUGGCGCCAUCACAACCCGUUUCAAACAGAAAAAAUCUGACAAAAUAUGCAAAAGCACACAAUGUCACAUUAAACCCGUCGACGCACGAGCAGCCACAUGAAACGCCGGCGCCGUCCCACCGUGUGGCGGGAAGACAAAGGAGGAGAGGGAGAGGCGUAGCGCACCCUGAGGUACGUCGCUGCAUUGACUCUCAUUAAACUUGCAUUGUUUGAAGUGUUUAGUCGUGAACGUGUUGACAUAGCGGCAGCACGGCGCACAUGAGAGGCAAACAAAGUCCUCACCGCCAGCCGCUCCGAGCACAGGAGGCUCUCCGCUGCCGGCGUAAUGAGGACUGGGAGGAGAGGAACAUGUGAGGGAUCCAUUAGCGCUGUUAGCUCCUCUGCCUCCAUGAAGGAGGAGGCGGGAGGGAGGACAAUGGCAGUUCUUCUCAGGUUGAGUGAUGCCCUCCGCGCUGCCAUUACGCCGUUAUGGCGUUCCUCCAGAAGAUGUGAUUUAUUCACCUCGCUGUUGACGACGGGAUGGGACGCCUCCGGUGAGCGGAAACACUCAAUUGAAUUCUGACAAUCCACAUCUAGCUCCUGAGUCCCGGAGUCUCCGGCAACGCCGCAGCGCUGAGAUGGUGUGAUGCUCACAUCAGCGCCGGUCCUCAGGAUUGAUCAUCACAGAAUCAGAACCCUCCCCUGAUUGGAUGAAGGGUUGGGGGGGGGGGGGGUUAGCAGAACCAUGAGGAGCAGCCUGGGAGAGCAGUGAGAGCCAUCGGAUCAGAGGACCCAGCUCACAGAGGGACCUUUUGGAAUUGCUACAAAUCCUUGGUCAAUCAAAAUGUUGAGUUUUUGGAGAAACUGGGUGGCGACAACGUCUGAACGAUAAGAAUACGGGGGACAGUUCAUAUGAAAUAUAUUUAUUUAUGCAUACAUAUAUAUGUCUGUAUUAAUUGCUGUCAUGUGGGACCUUUCUUGAGGUGGG